rnacentral:lncRNA from 1 species
GGGAGGGAAGCCCUGGGGAGACCAGUGACAGAGUUGAUGCAGGAAGUGCCAUGUCCCUCCUGGGGCCUAGAGCCUGCACUACGUCAUCAGGCUAAGACCUGAGACUGUGCCCUGCCCUGGACUCAGGGUUCUGAGGAGCUGGCAGAGCCCCCAGGGGUGGGGCAGAGCCAGGAGAGCAAGAAUCUCCUUGACAGGUGGGAAGCAUGUGCCUGUUCACCCCUAUGUCCGGCACAAUGCUUGGCCCUGCAGGUCAACAGGAAGGUGAGUGCAAGGGCACUGCCCUCUGUGAGCUCACAAGCCAGAGGUCAAGACCCUCGGACAGUGACAUUUUGAGGCGUAACGCUGGGAGGCAUUUGCAGAGCCCAGAAUUGGGGUUCCCCGUUGGGACCCUGACCCUGGAAGGGGCCUUUGAGCUUGCAAGGGGAGGCUCCUCCUCCUCCCUCCCACCCUGUGGCCUCAGCACCCUCAGAGCAUCACCAUCUGCCUAGUGGCCGAGGCUCCUUUAUGUUCCCAUCGCUGUAGUCCAACAACACCUCUCCAGGGAGCCCUCCCAGAUCCCUCAACCCAAGGUGGACUUUCCCAAUAGCCCCUCAGGCCACUCUGCACCCUUCCUGCACAGCUACCAUGAGGAACCUAAAACAACAACUUAUUCAACGUGCAACAAGUGCUCAGUAAAUAUUUAAGGAGACAGUGAAUGAGUGAAUAUAUUUCUACCCCCUCAGCUCUCUGAGUUACAUAGUGGACAGUCCAUAGGACAUGAAUAAUGUAUACGUUUUUAAUGGAAUUAAAGUACACUCCAAGCAUUUUUAUCCUGAACACUCAUGCAUACACUUAAAUUAAAUAUUGAAAUAACCACAUGCACAAAAUCUUCUGUGGUCAUGGUUCUCAUCCUGCAUGAAUCACUUCUGUCCAGAAGUGGGCAUCCCUGUGUAACAGCCUUUGGAGGGCGUGGGAACGGACAGGGUUCAUGCUUGGCAAACAUCUGAAAGUGGCGUUGACUUCCCUGCCUGCCUGAAUGAGUGUGCAAUGAAGAUAAAUCCCCUUUUGACUAACAGGUCUAUGCUGGCCCAUUAGGAUCCACAGGAAUGAACAGGAAUCCCUUCGGGAAUUUUUCAAGGCUUACGGUUCAGGAGAAGAGGUCCAAAGGCACCACCUCUACUUCAUUGCAGCGAAACUUCCCACCACGGCCCCUCCAGGGGGCUACAGGGUUCAUUGCUCACUCACAAAUAGUACACAGCACACACGAGAAAAGUUAAUUUACUGGUUUACCUGCUUCUUUUUCUUCUCCCGCUUUGCCCUGUUUGAUUCCAUUUAAAAAUGUUUCUACUUCAUCCAUCAGUGAGCUCCCUGUGUCAGCUAGAAAGUCUCUUUAGAAGCGUGUUUAGCAUCUUUCAAUACCGAUAUCUAUUUCAGAGACUCUUUGCUCCUCCAAUAUCUGCCUUAUCUCCUUUACUAUUUUUCAUUAUUUGUCCCAGCUAUCUACCUCAUCACUGUCUGCAUUUUUAAUAUCCUCUUUGUCUCCUCCACUUCUGUAUAUUCUUGUUUGCUCAGUAAGCCUUAUUCAAUAUUUCAUUGUAUGUGUUAACUGUUAACUCAGCCCUAAUUAAUCUCACUUUUCAACUUGGUUCAGUUUAAGGUUCUAGACAUGUCAAUAUGAAGGGUGUAUUUGGGGGGAGCGAGAAGUUCAACAGCAAGGGUAUUUACAGUGCCACAUGCAGUCUCAUUUUCUCGCAGAAAUCCAAAUUGCUUUGCCUUUUCCUUCAGAGAGCAUUUUCCUUUGUUUCCGACUUGCCCAUUGGGCGCAGCACACCUGUGUGGACACACUGUCAACACACACGCUGGCCAGUCCUCCACCGAGGGUCAGGAGCACUGAGGAGGCAUCUCCCUGGCCAUGGGCAGUGCCACAGGAGCUGCACUCAGGCUCCCAACCUUCACAGGUGCGUAAGGUGCACUGGGGCAUGCUCAGAGCCCCCUGACAUCUGUCCACGUGGGUGAGGACAUGCUGGGUGGUCUGGUGGCUCAGUACCAGGCAGACCACCUGACAGUGAUGGUGUCUUCAGGAAAUCCUGGAAACAAGACAGAGGUUUGAAAACCUCACUGCACAGACACAAUAAGCUACGUAUCCAUAGUGGUGUACAUAUGCACGCACAUACAUGCAUGUCCACAAUCCAUGUUCCUAUGCACCUGUUCCUGCACAUGCAGGUUCAUGCACACAUAUUCCCUGUCGCUUCUUCCGUUCGUGCGGUGGCCUCUCCUCUCACCAUGGUGGCCUGGAGGCACCCACAUUUCUCUGGCCACGCGGCGCUCCAAGUCAGGAGUCAGCGAACAAGCCACGCAUCGACACCAGAACAGCCUGGAGGAAAAGCAGCCUCGUUCUGUUACCUUCUGCUGGUUACCCAGAGCCCGGUCCCUGCAGCCUGUGGGGAGAGACACAGACCCCCACUCUGCAUCCGGGCGGAGUCACGGCGUUUGCCCCUGUGUAUUUUAAACUGCCGCAAGGACUACGUUUACUUUUUUCGCCCUGUUUCCGUGUUCUGCCAUUUUUGAGGUCUCCACCACGUUCCCCUGGCCCCGGCCUAGACCCGGGCCUUUCCCCAGGGGUCUUGCUCCUCCGUGGCCCUGGACCGCUUGGCCCCUGUGCUCCUCUUUCCCUGGCUCCAGGAUGCAGCCAGCUUCUUUUCAAGAAACUCAACCC